GUUCGAGGUUCGAGGCUCUCAGUCGUGCCGGGAACUCGCUUCGUUGCGGGGUGACCUCUUCUAUUCUCGGUUCAGGUAUACACGUCGUCGCGUUUUCCUCGCCACGUAUAACCUGACAUAUUUAUUUUGCAUCAUGUCAGAUAAUAAACGAGUAAACGAUUAAUUUUGUUGUUGGCCUCACUCCGGCUGACACGUUGAUAUUUUAAACUCUAUUGCUACCUGCUACCGUGUUAAUAUCGAGACUCGUUUCAGUUUGAUCAUAUCGUGAGCUAUAGAUAAAGUAUUAGAUUGUUUUUUUUUAGUGUUAGCAUUAUCAAGAAUCCUAUUGUUAUUAUGUAUUAGUAUUUAAUUGAUAUUAUAUUUUGAUGUGACUCGGAGAACUUUUAAGGGAAAGUUCUGGCACGAGAUAGUGUCGAUUAAAGAAAAAACAACAAACGAACGAACAAACAAACGAUUAAUCUUGACGUUUGCUCGGUCACUGGAUGUCCAAUCGUAAAAAAAAAGGGGAGGAACAGGUAUGAGAACUUACCGAUUGAUCGAAACAAUAAGAAAAGUCGAAGCCCGCCAAAAGGGAUUUACUUAAAGAGAUCUAACCGUUAUUACAUUGAAAAUGACAUCUUUAUUUCGGUAAAUAAAGGGAAGUGUACUUCUAUCAAUCAUCCGUUGGAAAAGUCCAAUCGCGUUUCCGUUGAAUCCUUCAUAGGGAAAAGAAUAAAAAGCGAUUUCUUGAUCUCGUUCUAUCUUUCAUUCCUUUUUUCCUCCCCCACAACGUGGAAGCAUCGAACCAUUUGACCAAUACGAUGCCAAAGACAAAAAAAGGGACACGUUGCUAUCGAUGAACGAAGGAACGAACGAAGGGAUCGAACGGGAGUGUUUCGUCCUUCGUCAAAGAUCUGUUACUUUAAAUUAGAAACUCAUGAAAAGAUAUAAUUUCCCUGUUUUCCAGUAACUCUAUGUGAUGCACGAUGCGAGUUCUAUCUUAAGAGGUUUUCUAUUUCGAAAAAAAGGGGGAAGAAAAUGAUCAAUUGGUCGUUGUAAUUCUUAUCGCUUGGAGAAAAACACCUGUCAUAUAUCCAACGUGUUUUUUCUUAUCAAUUACAAGACAUUUUAUCAACAAUCUUGUACAUAUAUAUAUAUAUUUCUUAUCGUGAAUUUAUUCAAGCAAUAAUCAAAGAACACGAUACAUCUACUAUUACUACUACUACUACUAUUGCUACUGUACACGAGCAACGAUAAUUGAAUAUAAUUAACGUCACUGAUAAUACAGUACAAGGAUUGCAACUUUGUUUCUCGCCAAUUAGCGCAUUAAAGUCUUAUCGGUCAUCUGUCGGUUGGUUGGUCGGUUGGUCUCCCGGAUUGCUUCGUUACGAUUUGAUCUUACCGAGAAGACGUAUAAUUGACGUAACUGUGUGUGUGUAUGUGAGAGAGAAAGAAAAAGGGAAAGGGAAGAAGGAGGAACAAGAAGAGGAGGAAGAACAAAAUCGAAAGACAAGAUAAAACGCGGAAUCGUGAGAGAGAGUCAAACGUGCUCACGUUGCGUUCUUUUUUCGAGUGAGGGAAAAGAAAAAAAGAAAGAAAGAAGGAAAGAAAGAGAGAGAGAGAGAGAGAGAAAUCUAGGUGAAGCUCAAUGAGGAACGAUUGACAAUCCCGUUUUAUUGCAGUUUUCUCUGUUAUUGUUCGCGCGUAAUCUUACUUCCCUUACCCCAACCCCCAACCCUCAACCCCCAUCUUCCUCCUCCUCUUUCUUCUUGUCCCUCACCUCUCUCUCUUUCUCAUUUUCUUCUUUUAUGCACAUUGAAACAGCUUUUAACGAGCUAUUCUCUUAAAGAAGAUAGACGGUCCUCCUCCCCCGCAGUUAACUCGAAAUUUUCGUUGGUUGUUCUACGAUCGAGGAUCGAUUCUACGAUGAUUUAACGAUGACGUAAAAGAUUAAGAUUAGGAUAAGAAAGAAAAUUAAAAACGUGGAUUGAGACGAAAGACAUAUUAUGCAUUUGUGCAUAUAACUUAUUUGUAUUAUUGGGAAGAAACAAUAUGGCAAAGUAUCCUACUCGUCGAAGGGAUUUCGAUCAGGAUUGUUUUUCAUUCGCUACGAGGGAUUAAUUAUUUCCUACGAUAACUAUCGAAUCGUAAGAACAAGGGAAUAAAUUUGUUACCACGUUACUGACAACAUUUUACGUGGGUUUCUGUUAAAAAAAACGUGAAAAGGAAUGUAAAAAGGGAUGUAACAUUUGAGGGAAAGAUUUGGAAAGUCCGUUGUUAUACCUGCAGCGAGAAAAAGGAUCGAUCGAUCGAUCAUGAGAUCGAAUUUCUACUAGAAGAUAGAAGAGGUUUCAAAACAAGCUGAAUAAAGAAGAAAGAAAGAAAGAAAGAAAGAGAGAGGAAGAGAGGAAGAUAGAACGGAUAAAGGAGAGCAUGCUGUCUUGGAGCACGUGACGAACGGUGUUGUUUUCUUUUGGGACUUCAAAAAAGGUGAGUAGUAUCGCAAACGCCUAGCUAGUGCUCUCUCGACGCCCUGUAAAAUGCAAGGGGAAACAAAUUACUCGAAUUCUACUAUGGACUACUGUCAAAAGUUAUCUUUUUACGAAGUAAGUAGAAACAUAAUAAGCUUGUCUAUGAAAAUAUAAAAGAGAAGAAAAGAAAUUCACAG
rnacentral:lncRNA from 1 species